rnacentral:lncRNA from 1 species
GAUUGUGCUGAACAACCAGAGAGAUGCUGCUGCUUCUUUUCAUAUUUGGAGAGGAUGGUACAUUAAAAAUGGGUUCUUUCUUUCAUUGCAUUCAUUUAUUCUUUAUUUCUCCAAUCUCCUUCUCUCCAUCAUUAGCACAACCCCACAAAUGGUUCUUUGACUUUCAUCAUUUCUUCAUCUCUGCAACAACCUCAUACAAAUUUGACUUCGUCCCAAACUAUGUGUUUUGCUACUUCAACAUCAAAACGAUUUUUUGAAAAAUUCGAAUGCUAUAAUCUCUCCAUAGUGAAAAGAUCUAACAACCUUGUCGUCGCUUCCCACAAUUUCAGCGAGCUUGAUGAUGAAGGAGGAACAGUGAUUUUGGGGCGGUGAGGAAAAAGCUUAGUGGAGAGAGAAGACGAAGUUAAUUAGAACACUAUUUUUAUUUUUAAUAAAAAAUAGCAUAGCCGGUUGCAGGUAGAUAGAUGUUUUAACAUGAAUGACGUGGACCAAUAGUUGGUCAAGUGUUCAAAAGCGUUUGUUAGAGCGAGUGUCGCUAGCAGUGCUCUUAUCUUUUUUGGUGUGUUUGGUUGAAGGAGUGGGGUCCACCAAACAGAUUCUCCAAUGGCAAAUAACUUCUU